rnacentral:misc_RNA from 1 species
CUGUUCGAGCGUCAUUACACCACUCAAGCUCCGGCUUGGUCUUGGGCCCGCCGUCAAACCCGGCUCGCCUCAAAAUCACUGGCGGCCCUGUCCGGUCUCAAGCGCAGUAAUGCUCGUCGCUUGCUAGGCUCGGUACGGCGGUGCGCCAAAAAACCCAUAAGGUUGACCUCGGAUCAGGUAGGGAUACCCGCUGAACUUAA